rnacentral:rRNA from 1 species
UGAACGCUGGCGGCAGGCCUAACACAUGCAAGUCGAGCGGUAACAGAGAUAGCUUGCUAUCUGCUGACGAGCGGCGGACGGGUGAGUAAUGCUUGGGAAUAUGCCUUUAGGUGGGGGACAACAGUUGGAAACGACUGCUAAUACCGCAUAAUGUCUACGGACCAAAGUGGGGGACCUUCGGGCCUCACGCCUAAAGAUUAGCCCAAGUGGGAUUAGCUAGUUGGUUGAGGUAAAGGCUCACCAAGGCAACGAUCCCUAGCUGGUUUGAGAGGAUGAUCAGCCACACUGGAACUGAGACACGGUCCAGACUCCUACGGGAGGCAGCAGUGGGGAAUAUUGCACAAUGGGCGCAAGCCUGAUGCAGCCAUGCCGCGUGUGUGAAGAAGGCCCUAGGGUUGUAAAGCACUUUCAGUAAGGAGGAAAGGUUGUAAUUUAAUAGAUUGCAGCUGUGACGUUACUUACAGAAGAAGCACCGGCUAACUUC